UCCGGCUUCCCCUGAGGAGGCCCCGGGCCCCACAGGGCACCCGUGUGAGAGGCCGGGCGGGCAGCGUUCUCCAGUGGCUGCCUGGGAGACCGUUGGCUGCUUCCCGCCUCGGGGGCAGAGCCUUCCUGUCAGGGCCCGCGGCGGGGUGAGAGCAGGAGAGCAGCGGCAGCGUCCGCACAGAGCCACCCCCGCGGAGUCUCAAGGGGUUCCUGCGGUGGGCGCUGCCCGCAGCCAGGCCCACCGGAUGAGGGGGCCUCUCGGGCAGCUCGGCUCCUGCCACGGGCCACGCCCUUGAGAAGAAGUGGCGUUCGCUUUUGGUGUGGGCUGAGGUGACUAACGGGUCGCCCCGCGCCCUGGAAAGGCCUGUGCACUUACACUGUAAAGGAUGCAAAGAAGUAAUGCAGAUUUCAUCUUGGAAAUGGUGUGAUUAAAUGAAUAAGACUCAAAACACCGCUCUGUCUAGGAUGUCUGAAUGUGUUGGCAUUAAUUUCCUAGCUGCUUUCCUGAUUUAGUGAAGCCUGGGAGUAUCCACUGGGAAAAGAAGCUUUGCUGUGUGUUUCUAAAGAUUGUUACUGCUAGCUUUGCGUACUGUAGUGACCUUUAGUUCUGGAAAAACAUAGGUGUUUAAAAACUUCACUGUGGCUUCAAAAUGCAUUGUCAAAAGUUUCGAGGCAAGAUAUUCUAAGAACAGCCUCAGAGUGGCAUGAGUCAUAAAUAAUUACAUGAAACAUUGUUUGUGAUGAGUUACUUUGUUUGCUGGUCAGCCACCAAAAGGAGAUGUUCCUGCUACAAAAGUGGGAGCCCAAACGAGAAUUACCCAUCAAAUAAUAAUAGUGAUCCUCAAUGCUUACGCAGAGGACAUUUGCCCGAAGAAUGGCUUGCAGACAUAGACUGGCAGAAGAAACAUUUGUAACGCAAGGAUAUAUCCAAAAUGCCACAUCGGUGUGAUAGGAGCAUGAGCUCAGCAGAGAGCUUUCUACUGCACUGUAUAUCACUGUUUGGUGUGACCAACCUUUGGCAAGACGCGCUGCUCUGAAUGCCUCUGCUCAGGUACAGAUUUACCUGGAGGACUCUCAGGACUUUGUGUCUUUCCUCCCCCACGUUAUCAGCACACGCUGCAGCGUGCCUGCCAUGGCAUACAGUGCUGCCUGCCCACGUCUUGUCUCUGUCCUGUAGCUGUGGUGAGUCUUGUCAUGAUGCUUGUCGUGAUCCCUGUGCAUCUUGGUGCGUUUUAUAAAAAUUGGGUUAUGAAGCACUACUGCAUGUAGGGUAAGCAGUGUAGCAGCCACUAUUAAUGUGGAAAACUGAAGAAAGGAAAGCUGAAGUGAGUUGUGGGUGAUGCAAGAGUUAGGAGCAGACUUCCUAGUCACUCAGUGUUUUGUCUGACCCUUACUUCUUCAUACCUGAUUGUCUCCAUUCUGCCACAUGAAGGUGAUAGCACUGCAAAAUGCUUUGACAUGCGCAGAACACAAGCAGAAGAACGCUUCGUUCAAUAACUCCGAGACAGAUGCCUGCUCAAGGAAAUUGGAGAAGGUGCCUUUAGUUGCAGAGCAGCUGGCAGAAGGGUUCUGGCAGAGUCCUUGCCACAGCAUGGGCCCCAGUUCUUUUGGGGAGCUUGACCUUCAUAUCAGCUUUGGGGUGCUAAGAGCUUGCUCUGAUUUCAGACCUCUAUGGCCAGAAGGGAGAAGUAUUAUCAUGCCCAUUUCUCCACCAAUGAUUGCCAUCUGAAAGCAGGCAGUGGUGGCACCAGUGCAUGGUGUUCUGUUGAAGUAUUCAAUUUUACACAAUGCCAGCUUAAAGUCACCUUAAAAAUAAUCUUUUAACUGUAAAAUCAGUACAAGAAUGUUUGUGCUAAAAUGUAACCAGUAGGAUGAUAGGUUAGAGUACCAGUUCCUAGCUGGUAUGGUGUACUGCUACUCGGUGUGAAAUCUGAAAUGAAGCACAGGCUCACAUAGGGCUGGCACCCUCUGCUUCUUUCCCCUGGGGAGGGAGCAGCAUGUGUUCAAGCUGUGGCGCAGAAUAAGCUGUGUCUGGCUGAGGAGGAGGAUAAAGUACACAUAUGGUUUGUUGGUACAGCUAAUCUGACCUGGUGAAUAGUUAUCACCAAGGGAGGCAGCCGUGCUUUAUGGCCCUGACUAGUCUCUCUCCCACUCCCAUCCCUGUACUGCUACUGGUAGAUGUCUCACCCUGCAGUGUCCUGAUUCAGGGAGCUGAAUGGCAGGCAAGUUUCCCUGCAUUUUGCAGGGCUAAUUUUCUGCUGUUUUUUUUUUUUUUUUUCCUGAACUGUCUCUUGAGACAUCAGACAGGUGUUGGUGAGGUAACACAUAGCAAGAGAGGAGUAUAAAUGUUCUUUCAUGCAGCAGCUGGCUGUUAGAUUGUAUGAUCUGUACCCUCCGACUGCAUCCUGAGUCUUCAUAACAGCAAAUGCUACAAAUGGAAAUACAGGUGUGAUAGAUACUGCAGGAGGAGAUGGUAAAAUCUGUGUUCUCGUUUUGGUUUUCUUAUGAAAAUCAGUUGGAAACAUGCUUACAUGCAUUUAAUAUAGCAAUGACUCAAAUAGAGGAUAAAUAUAAAUCAGUUUGUGUACCUUAGCACUGACAAAUAAGUUUUGAAGGCCUUUGGCCUCUCAUGUUCUGCAUUUCACAUCUCACUGGGAUGGUAAAGAGUGUUAAUGCUUAGAUAGCAAUCAGGCUGGCAAGGACACUGGAGGGGCUGUCUUGGUAGGUAGGUAGCUAGCAGCGAUCUGUGUAAAUGUAGAGAGAGAUUUCUUCACAAGCUUAAUAUGAAAGCACUUCAUUUUAAAAGGGCCAGAUGUGCUACAUUUGACUUCUGAUGAACUAUUUACAAAAAAUAAUCUUUUCAGUGGCUUUUUGUCUUUGCUAGGGAUAGAGAGAAAGGCUGCUGGAAGUUUAUUCUUUAUGCUUAGAUGCUUCCUUCUUUUGCAGUUACUUCCCCAUACUGGAAUACCUUGACGAUUUUUCAAGAAACUAUUUCCAUUCCAAUUAAUAAACAUCUCAGUAGGAAUAUGCUGUAUCAUUUGAACCUACAGUCCAAGUUUUCUUGGAACAAGAACUUUAAUGGCAUAUAAGAAGCUUCAAAAAAACCUUCUUUUCACAUCAUGGUAUGAUUGUAGACUUGUAAUUUCACCCAGGUUAUCUCUGUUGGUGACAUUUAUAAAGAACAGUUUCACAGUGGGAUAGCCAGCAGUGUCUUUUCAUACCUGAAGUGUCACUAGGAAAUAGUGAAGAGAUCUGACACCACUUUGUAUAUUUUUAUGCUAUAGGAUUCAUUUGAUGAUCUGUAGAAGCUGCUUUCUAUAAAAACAGUACACAUCAGACAGAAAGAAAACCUCAAAACCUAUUGGGACUGCUUUGAAGAAACAAACAAAUCAUUCAUAAAUUCCUUCCUCUUUUUCAAAUCGUAGAGAAACUGCUCUGUCUUAUGUGUCAAGAAUGGGGGGGACGUUAUGUUUCACUAAUGUCAAGAAGUGACCAUACCUAGACUGUAUCCAACUGACAAUAACCUAAUGGUCUGUGCCAUCUCACCUCUUGUACCACCGUUUUUGUAUAUUUUCUGUAAUCAUCACUAUUCUCAAUGGAGUCUCAGCUUGUUAAGUUCUGCACUGAUAUGUAAGAAGGUAUUAUCGCUGCUCUGAUGAGGCCACCAUCUGUGAGGAAAAAAAGGGAAUCUGCCAUCAUCUACCUUUUUUUGUUGUUGUUGUGUAAUCUUUUAAUCCAGUAAUUUUUUAAGCAAAAUCUUGCAGAUGGUACAUGCUGAGUGACCUUAUUGCAGAGAUCAAAUGAGGAAUUGUUUGUUAAAUAACUGUAUCAGGAAGGAUUUUUCAUGAGUGGGGGAAUGUGCAAGGAAAGGCAUGACAAGACUUCUGUGCUGAUUCCUGUUAUUCACUGUUGGAUCAAGUAUAGUGGACUUGGAGUGUAUUUGAUUUUAUCAGUCAGUAAAAACUAAGUAGCUUUGUUAGCUAAUGUUUCAUUAAAGAUCAAAAUAUCUACAGACUAUCUCUCGUA